GGGCCCGUAGCUCAGCGGUAGAGCAGUGGACUUUUAAUCCAUCGGUCCUCGGUUCGAAUCCGAGCGGGCUCACCA
rnacentral:tRNA from 2 species